CGGCACGGCUUCUCCCCGAACCCGCCCCCCUCACGCUUUUGGUUGACACAGUCGCGAGGCGCAUCAGAGGUAUUCAGAUUUAGAUGAUCACUAAACCUAUAAGCCAUAAAGAAAUGGGAGAUGCAGAAUGGAUGGGCUUUGGCCUUCAGGAGGGAUGAACCCGCUCCAAGGAAACAGAAGUGACGUGACCUCUGUCAGAAGUAGUUACCCCCAGAGCCCAGCCUCCUCCCAAGCAGUCUCUGGGUGCUGUCCAUGUACGGCAGGGAUAUCCUCUCCCACAUGGACCAUAUCAAGGCCAGCAUCACCUCCACAUUUAGUUCCAUCUUAAAGAUGGACUCAACCAAAAAGGUCAAAUAUAACGUGACUGUGUAUUUGAUUUCCAUGUUUGUUAAACUCUCUUAUAAACAAUAACAUUAAAAACUAGUUUUUAUUAUAAAUGUGUUCGGUUAUAAAUCUGGAAACAUUAACUGCUAUA